AUUGAACGCUGGCGGAAUGCUUUACACAUGCAAGUCGAACGGUAGAGGGGGCAACCCCUCGAGAGUGGCGAACGGGUGAGUAAUAUAUCGGAACGUGCCCAGUCGUGGGGGAUAACGUAGCGAAAGUUACGCUAAUACCGCAUACGAUCUAAGGAUGAAAGCGGGGGAUCGCAAGACCUCGCGCGAUUGGAGCGGCCGAUGUCAGAUUAGGUAGUUGGUGGGGUAAAGGCUCACCAAGCCAACGAUCUGUAGCUGGUCUGAGAGGACGACCAGGCACACGGGAACGGGGGCACGGCCCAGACACCUACGUGAGGCAGCAGUGAGGAAUUUUGGACAGGGGACGCAAGUCUGAUCCAGCCAUUCGGCGUGAGGGAUGAAGGCCCUCGGGUUGUAAACUGCUUUUGUACGGAACGAAAAGGUCUCUCUUAAUACGGGGGGCUCAUGACGGUACUGUAAGAAUAAGCACCGGCUAACUACGUGCCAGCAGCCGCCGUAA
rnacentral:rRNA from 1 species